rnacentral:rRNA from 1 species
UACGUAGGGGGCAAGCGUUGUCCGGAUUUAUUGGGCGUAAAGAGCGUGUAGGCGGCCUGGUAGUUCAGCUGUGAAAACUCGAGGCUCAACCUCGAGACGUCGGUUGAAACCACCUGGCUAGAGUCCGGAAGAGGAGAGUGGAAUUCCCGGUGUAGCGGUGAAAUGCGCAGAUAUCGGGAAGAACACCCGUGGCGAAGGCGGCUCUCUGGGACGGUACUGACGCUGAGACGCGAAAGCGUGGGGAGCGAACAGG